UUCUACCUCCGCCUGGCGUGUUUCAAAGAGAAGACCUGUACUCAAGGAUACGUUGGCGACGAGUCCAGCAUUUAUCAUGCGAAUUCUGGGACCGUUGGAGCAAGGAAUUUCUUCAUAGCUUACAAGAGAGGUCCAAGUGGACGAGACCACGCCGUAACAUGCAAGUUGGCGACGUAGUUAUCGUUAAAGACGACAACAAGGCGAGGAAUCGGUGGAGCCUUGCUCGUGUGAUAGAAACGUACCCCAACAAGGCCGAUGGACUGGUGCGUAGUGUCAAGGUAGCGAUUGGAGACCCUGAUAUCUCCAGCACUGGAAAGAGAGUGCACCCCCCAUCAGUUUUGGAAAGACCCAUUCAAAAGCUUGUCCUGCUGCUGCCAAGAGAGGAAAGACUGGGAUUCCCGCAUGGGGAGCCAUUCAACGAACAUAUUCAAAAGGAGGACUAGACACGGACAUGUCAGUGAACUCUGAACUUUUUACUUUAAUUAUGUUUCGUUUUGUUUGAAAUACGGUGAUUUCAAGGGGAGCCAUGUAAGUGCCCCUAAGGCGCGGGUUUAACCCUUGUUUUGAUUUAGUAAUCGUUUAAUUAAUAAUCUGUAAAAGUCACACUAGGUGCCUCGUCACGCGUUCCGUAAGUGGUAUCGCAUUUCCAAACAGAACGGAUCUAUUGUGCAAUUCAAUAAUUCGAUCGAUUUCGCAAGCACUCGUGGUUUAAUAGAAAGAAAUUGUCUGUCGUUUUUAUCGAAGGAAGGAAAGGUCCUUUUGUGUCAACUCUCGCCAGAUCCGGCAACAAUCUUCACGGUCAAAUACGACAUUUAAUAAAGGAGGCGUUCCAUGAAAGAAAUUGGGGCGAUAUUUGUUGUGUCGAUCAGUGAGAUUCGUACGGUCCAGCUAGCGGCGAUCAAGCGUCGCUAUAACCAUUAU